rnacentral:rRNA from 1 species
UCUAAGACCGAGCACCGAGACGAGCCUUUAUGGCGAAGUCACUGAUACCACGCUUCCAGGAAAAGCUCCUAAGCUUCAGCUUACGCAGACCGUACCGUAAACCGACACAGGUGGGUAGGAUGAGAAUUCUCAGGCGCUUGAGAGAACUCGGGUGAAGGAACUAGGCAACAUGGCACCGUAACUUCGGGAGAAGGUGCACCCUUUUUGGUGGCUCGUGCGAGCUAUAGCUGAAGAGGGUCGCAGUAACCAGGCCGCUGCGACUGUUUAUCAAAAACACAGCACUCUGCAAACACGAAAGUGGACGUAUAGGGUGUGACGCCUGCCCGGUGCUGGAAGGUUAAUUGAUGGGGUCAGCCGCAAGGCGAAGCUCUUGAUCGAAGCCCCAGUAAACGGCGGCCGUAACUAUAACGGUCCUAAGGUAGCGAAAUUCCUUGUCGGGUAAGUUCCGACCUGCACGAAUGGCGUAACGACAGCGGCGCUGUCUCCACCCGAGACUCAGUGAAAUUGAAAUCGCUGUGAAGAUGCAGCGUUCCCGUGGCAAGACGGAAAGACCCCGUGAACCUUUACUAUAGCUUUACACUGAACGUUGAGUUCGUCUGUGUAGGAUAGGUGGGAGGCUAUGAAACCAUGGCGCUAGCUGUGGCGGAGCCAUCCUUGAAAUACCACCCUGUCGUGCUUGACGUUCUAACCUGGGCCCAUUAUCUGGGUCGGGGACCGUGUAUGGUGGGUAGUUUGACUGGGGCGGUCUCCUCCUAAAGAGUAACGGAGGAGCUCGAAGGUACGCUCAGCGCGGUCGGACAUCGCGCACUGUGUGCAAAGGCAUAAGCGUGCUUGACUGCAAGAUCGACGGAUCAAGCAGGUAGGAAACUAGGACUUAGUGAUCCGGUGGUUCUGUAUGGAAGGGCCAUCGCUCAACGGAUAAAAGGUACUCCGGGGAUAACAGGCUGAUACCGCCCAAGAGUUCAUAUCGACGGCGGUGUUUGGCACCUCGAUGUCGGCUCAUCACAUCCUGGGGCUGUAGUCGGUCCCAAGGGUAUGGCUGUUCGCCAUUUAAAGUGGUACGCGAGCUGGGUUCAGAACGUCGUGAGACAGUUCGGUCCCUAUCUGCCAUGGGCGUUGGAGAUUUGAGAGGGGCUGCUCCUAGUACGAGAGGACCGGAGUGGACGAACCUCUGGUGUUCCGGUUGUCACGCCAGUGGCAUUGCCGGGUAGCUAUGUUCGGAAGCGAUAACCGCUGAAAGCAUCUAAGCGGGAAGCGCGCCUCAAGAUGAGAUCUCCCGGGGCACAAGCCCCCUGAAGGAACCAUGUAGACUACGUGGUUGAUAGGUCAGGUGUGUAAGUACAGCAAUGUAUUGAGCUAACUGAUACUAAUGAUCCGAGAGGCUUGACCAU